AUGCCACAAGUUGUUUCCAAGCAAGAUAUGUAUAACACACAAACAUCUCCCCCAGUAUUACAACUAAUUCAUUUCCCCCCAGUAUUACAACUAAUUCAUUUCCCCCCAGUAUUACAACUAAUUCAUUUCCCCCCAGUAUUACAACUAAUUCAUUUCCCCCCAGUAUUACAACUAAUUAAUUUCCCCUUUGUAUUACAACUAAUUCAUUUCCCCCCAGUAUUACAACUAAUUCAUUUCCCCAUAGCAUUACAACUAAUUCCUUUCCCCCCAGUAUUACAACUAAUUCCUUUCCCCUAUUGUAGAGUAAUUAGCCUUACUAGUUUAGCUAAAGCAGUAGUGCUACUGGAUCAAAUCAAAUCCAAUUGAAAUUGUAUUUAAAGCAUUAAAAAUAGCAACACACUUAAUAUUAAAACAAUACAAUGAAAAUAAUGAUAUGCAAACAGGAAGCAGUAAAAUGUAGAAAAUAAAAAGUACACAGUGUAAAACAAUAAAAGCACUCAUUAAAGGCCAAGCUUCAGACCAGCUAUCAGAUUGUGUACACUACUGUACUUACAAGCUGCCCGUCUCUCCUUUCGUCUAGUUUGAUUCCAGAAAUCAGUUCAGAGUUUAAUCUGGUGAACGGUUCUCAGCAUCGCAUCGUCGGGGCCAAUCUUGUUGUUAGGUCACGGUUGCCAAGGUUGCCAUGCUAAUUUAGCUUUAGCUAAAUUUGUCGGCUUUUAUAUCAAUCAAUAGUCCUAGUGCACUGACCCCCCCCCCCACACACACACACACACAAACACACACACACACAAACAUCUCUCUCAAAGUUGUCUUUCUUAGCUAAUAACAGACUUGAACGGUGGAUGAUAAAAGAUGCUAAAAGAUAUGGCAUCAUUCAGCCUGUCUCCUGUGUGUCCCACUUCAACCUGUUAGCUAUACCUGUCAAUACAAACAGAUCACCCUUACAACAAGGGAACUAAACAACACACCAGACACACCAAAUGACCUCUGACCUCUCUGAAGCCACCAUAUGUUAUCAGUUAAACAGAACGGUUUUCUAAAAUAGCUCCAAACUUGUUCUCUAGUUAUUAUGGCAUCCUUUAUCUCUGGGGCUACCGUGACGUGUUUUUGUCAAACUGCAAAUACUGGUUUGCGUUAAUGUGGAUAUUACGCGGCUGUGUGUGUGUGUGUGUGUAUUUGUUUGCUUGUGUAUUUGUAUGUGUGUUGUCGCUAUGACAGCAGAGGGUAUACAGUCUGUAGAGAAUUGCCGGUGGAUACGGAUUCUGUUUGUGACCUAGAAUUAGUACAGACGACACACCUACCACUCCUCUCUGCUGUUUACUCAGAAGCAACAAUCUGGACUGAGGUGAGACUUUUGAUUCGUUUUGAAACCUCCAGACACCUGAGGCUGACACAGUGAGAAAUACAUCCAGAGUGGGAAUGGAGCAUGUAAAGUACCUGCUAACUUUACUUUCAUGUCUGACGUGUACAGUUGGAGUACAUAAAUUGUGUAUUUAUACCGAGUAAAAAUAGAAACGCCACAUGCAAAGUGUUGGUCCCAUGUUUUAUGAGCUGAAAUAAAAUAUCCCAGAAAUGUUCCAUACGCACAAAAAGCUUAUUUCUUAUUUCUCUCAAAAUGUGUUUAUGUCCCUGUUAGUGAGCAUUUCUCCUCUGCCAAGAUAAUCCAUCUGCCUGACAGGUGUGGCAUAUCAAGAAGCUGAUUAAACAGCAUGAUCAUUACACAGGUGCUACACAGGUGCUCCUUGUGCUAGGGACAAUAAAAAGCCACUCUAAAAUGUGCCUUUUUGUCACACAACACAACACCAUAGAUGUCUCAAGUUUUGAGGGAGUGUGCAAUUGGCAUGCUGACUUCAGGAAUGUCCACCAGAGCUAUUGCCAGAAGAUUUAAUGUUAAUUUCUCUACCAUAAGCCGCCUCCAACAUCCUUUUAGAGAAUUUGGCAGUAUGUGUAACCGUGUAACCACGCCAGCCCAGGACCCCCACACCGGCUUCUUCACCUGCAGGAUUGUCUGAGACCAGCUAUAAGGGAUAGAGGGAUGAGUAAAGUGAUAGAGGGAUAAGUAGAGUGAUAGAGGGAUGAGUAAAGUGAUAGAGGGAUGAGUAAAGUGAUAGAGGGAUAAGUAAAGUGAUAGAGGGAUGAGUAAACUGAUAGAGGGAUAAGUAAAGUGAUAGAGGGAUGAGUAAACUGAUAGAGGGAUGAGUAAAGUGAUAGAUGGAUGAGUAAAGUGAUAGAGGGUUGAGUAAAGUGAUAGAGGGAUGAGUAAAGUGAUAGAGGGAUUAUUAAAGUGAUAUAGGGAUUGGUAACGUGAUAGAGGGAUGAGUAAAGUGAUAGAGGGAUAAGUAAUGUGAUAGAGGGAUGAGUAAAGUGAUAGAGGGAUGAGUAAAGUGAUAGAGGGAUGAGUAAAGUGAUAGAGGGAUAAGUAAAGUGAUAGAGGGAUGAGUAAAGUGAUAGAGGGAUAGAGGGAUAAGUAAAGUGAUAGAGGGAUGAGUAAAGUGAUAGAGGGAUGAGUAAAGUGAUAGAGGGAUGAGUAAAGUGAUAGAGGGAUAAGUAAAGUGAUAGAGGGAUGAGUAAACUGAUAGAGGGAUGAGUAAAUUGAUAGAGGGAUGAGUAAAGUGAUAGAGGGUUGAGUAAAGUGAUAGAGGGAUGAGUAAAGUGAUAGAGGGAUUAGUAAAGUGAUAGAGGGAUGAGUAAAGUGAUAGAGGGAUUAUUAAAGUGAUAUAGGGAUUGGUAACGUGAUAGAGGGAUGAGUAAAGUGAUAGAGGGAUAAGUAAAGUGAUAGAGGGAUGAGUAAAGUGAUAGAGGGAUGAGUAAAGUGAUAGAGGGAUUAGUAAAGUGAUAGAGGGAUUAGUAAAGUGAUAGAGGAUAGAGGGAUGAGUAAAGUGAUAGAGGGAUGAGUAAAGUGAUAGAGGGAUGAGUAAAGUGAUAGAGGGAUUAGUAAAGUGAUAGAGGGAUUAGUAAAGUGAUAGAGGGAUUAGUAAAGUGAUAGAGGGAUUAGUAAAGUGAUAGAGGGAUUAGUAAAGUGAUAGAGAGAUUAGUAAAGUGAUGGAGGAUAGAGGGAUGAGUAAAGUGAUAGAGGGAUAGAGGGAUCUUGCCUUCCCUCCACUCCCCAUGGUACUCUUCACCGUUGGAAUAGGUGAAGGAUCCUCUUGUCAGGGUCAUAUCACACAGGUCCUGUUGUACACACACACACACACACACACACACACACACACACACACAUACAAUUAUUAUUGGGUUAUGAUUCUAUAUACCAUGAUGCGGUAUAUAACCAUGAUGGGUCAUGGUACUAUAUACCAUGAUGGGUUAUGAUACUAUAUACCAUGAUGGGUUAUGAUACUAUAUACCAUGAUGGGUUAUGA
rnacentral:lncRNA from 1 species